rnacentral:rRNA from 1 species
UACAGAGGGUGCGAGCGUUGUUCGGAAUUAUUGGGCGUAAAGGGCGCGUAGGCGGUGCGGUAAGUCACCUGUGAAAACUCUGGGCUCAACUCAGAGCCUGCAGGCGAAACUGCCGUGCUGGAGUGUGGGAGAGGUGCGUGGAAUUCCCGGUGUAGCGGUGAAAUGCGUAGAUGAUCGGGAGGAACACCGGUGGUGUAGACGGCUUUCUGGACCGUAACUGACGCUGAGACACGAAAGCGUGGGGAGCGAACAGGAUAG